GAAAUGUGUAGUUCAAGUAAAAGCUGCUAACUUAUUACUUUAAUGGUUAAACUCCAUUUACAUUUCU
rnacentral:tRNA from 1 species